UAAAGUCUGUCGUAGUCCGGAUUGGAGUCUGCAACUCGACUCCAUGAAGUCGGAAUCGCUAGUAAUCGUAGAUCAGAAUGCUACGGUGAAUACGUUCCCGGGCCUUGUACACACCGCCCGUCACACCAUGGGAGUGGGUUGCAAAGAAGUAGGUAGCUUAACCUUCGGGAGGGCGCUUACCACUUUGUGAUUCAUGACUGGGGUGAAGUCGUAACAGGUAACCGUAGGGGAACCUGCGGUUGGAUCACCUCCUUACCUAAGAGA
rnacentral:rRNA from 1 species